CAGCAGCCCUGGAUUCACUGGUUCUGAUCCUAAGUGUGGACCUACCCACCACUUAUCAAGCUGUUCUAAUCUUCCUCACAAAAAAAAAAAAAAGAGGCCCAUGAUUAAUCUUUUCAUUAAUUCUCUAUCUUUUGGAUCUUCCUAAAUCAACAAAUUACUACUCAAAUUAAACCCUAGUUUUAUAUCUGCAUUCUCUCUGUUCUAGUCUGAAAAGCCUACAAGCUUUUCUUUCUAGUCCCCAUUUCUGCCUCACUCCAGAAUCUGGCUCAAAACCUGGACUUUCUUGAAUCCAAAGGCUGGCAAGUAAAUCUUCUAUCAGAUAGCUCUGUCACAUGUCUGUGUAUUAAAAAUAGCUAAUAUGACUCACUAACACUCCUUACUUACUCAGACUGAAGGGCAGCUCUUGUGCCCCAAGGAUGGGAGUGUGGAGGAGGGCAGUGUGUGAAGAGAGCACCGAUAUUCAGAAAGAAUUCUCUAAACUUCUCAUUGAUGUCGAAUUUGUCCCCGGUAUUUCCAGCAGGAAGCACAUCUGUUUCUGAGGGCAGAGACUGCGGUAAAAUACUCCAGUGUGAGGAACAACUGUGCUAAGUCGUGAUGCAGGGAAUAGAGCGGAUGCCAAGUUCGUUGUUGCUUCCUUUUAAAGCCUGGCAGUCAUGUGACCCUCCCGGCUGUCUCUGCUGGAAGAAAUGAGAAACUCACCCAUUAAGAGACCUUCUACAGCAGCUCCU